rnacentral:rRNA from 1 species
GACGAACGCUGGCGGCGUGCUUAACACAUGCAAGUCGAGCGGUAAGGCCCUUUCGGGGGUACGACGAGCGGCGAACGGGUGAGUAACACGUGGGUGACCUGCCCUCCAGCUCUGGGAGUAAGCCUGGGAAACCGGGUCUAAUACUGGAUAUGACUCCAUGACGCAUGUUGUGGGGUGGAAAGCCUUGUGCGGCUGAGGAUGGGCCCGCGGCCUAUCAGCUUGUUGGUGGGGUGAUGGCCUACCAAGGCGACGACGGGUAGCCGGCCUGAGAGGGCGACCGGCCACACUGGGACUGAGACACGGCCCAGACUCCUACGGGAGGCAGCAGUGGGGAAUCUUGCGCAAUGGGCGAAAGCCUGACGCAGCGACGCCGCGUGAGGGAUGACGGCCUGG